AGCCUGAGCGACCUUUGGGGACCAUGCUGGGUCUGGUUCCACAGUCUUUCUACCACAUAUAUGUGGAC
rnacentral:lncRNA from 1 species